rnacentral:SRP_RNA from 1 species
GCUGGGCACAGUGGCACAUGCCUGUAGUCCCAGCUACUGGGAGGCUGAGGUGGGAGGAUUGCUUGAGCUCAUGAGUUCUGGGCUGUAGUGCACUAUGCCAAUCGGGUGUCCGCACUAAGUUCGGCAUCAAUACGGUGACCUCCUGGGAGUGGGGGACCACCAGGUUGCCUAAGGAGGGGUGAACUGGCUGAGGUUGGAAACGGAGCAAGUCAAAAAAACUCCAUAUUGAUCAGUAGUGGGAUUGUGCCUGUGAAUAGCCACUGCCCUCCAGCCUGGGCAACAGAGCAAGACCCUGUCUCU